AGAGGUGGAGUUCGAGCCCAACCCAAACAGCAGUAUGCUUGAAUUCGGCUUUUAACCAGAAACUUCAAUUGAAGCCAACAAUGGUUCACCCAGGUUGAAAAGAAAAGUCAUCAAACAAGAAAAUGGAGAUGAAGAAAAGUUGGUAUGUCAGUGUGUGAUUGAGUUUAAAGACUACCAUUUUCAAUCUUAUGUACUCCAAGUUUGUCUUUCCAUUGGGCUUACCAGAGAAGAAACUUUUGAAGUACUCUUCCGUCUCUAUUCUUUUGAAUAAUGGUGGGUUUUCAUGGUUCAUCAAAGCCUCUUACAGGUCCAAUCUCUGCAUCAACCUUGCAGCAGACCAAAAGAAAAAAGGCCAUUUAAUCUCUUCAAGCUUGCAAAAUAUUGGCAAGUUUUACAGAAUAUUAUAUUAUAAGUCUCUCGUCGUCCCAUGUUUUGCACACGCAUCACUAGUCUUCAUCAUUGUCAAAGUCCAACUUGACUGGUGGCUGCUGCUUGCUUGUUUGUUAGUGAUGGAAUUCGAGUUACAGGAGGAAGAAGCAGUCAAUCUGAGUCAGGCUGGCUCAGACUCACAUCACCACCCUUCUACUCAAUCUGAGGAACACUGAACUCCUUAAAAAGCUUCCUCCACAUCUCAGGUACCUCUCAUCUCCAUCAACCAAAUUCAACUCUGCUAAUUAGAUCCUAUUAUUUUUUAUUCUCAAUCAGUUCAAUCUGCCAAAUUUGUUGAGUAUCCCGCGUUGGUUGUCGAUAUAUACAUAAGGGAAAGUCUCAUUUUUUCAACUAGCUUCUAGGGUGAGAGUGCCCCAAUAACACUUUGUAGUGGCCGAACAAGUGGUCAGAACUCAAGGUUUGAAACAAUUCUAUCCAAAUGCAUUCGAAGUUCCAACUAAUUCCUAGGCGGGCGAACUUCCAAGGCCUGGUUCAAAAGGCAGAUUUCCCCAUUUUACUCCCUGGUUGGCCUGUCAGGUUGAGAACAUAACUGCAUGGGUAUGCUCAUCUUCAUGAAUUUGGUGCAGAGAGGUGUUGGAAGCAUAUUCCAUGGAAGUGAAAGAACUGGCCAUGGUAAUAUUAGAUUACAUGGCGAAAGCAUUGGGGAUGGAUUGUGAAGAGAUGAGGGAGUUGUUCAAUGAUGGAGUUCAAUCAAUGAGAAUGAAUUACUAUCCUCCAUGCCCUGAACCAGAGAAGGCCAUCGGUUUUACACCAUAUUCUGAUGCUGACGCUCUCACCCUACUAUUAUCAGCUCAUUGGCACUCAGAGCCUUAAUUCGCAAAGAUGGGAGAUGCACUGCUUCCAAAAGCUUUUGUAGUCAACAUUGGAGACAUCAUGGAAAUUGUAAGCAACGGCAUUUAUAAGAGCAUUGAGCACAGGGCAACAGUGAACUCAAUGAAAGAGAGAGUGGCUGUUGCAACGUUCCAUAAUUCCAAGCUGACACGGAGUUGGUUCCAGCGCCAAGCCUCAUUGGCCCAAACAGCCCAGUGAAUUUCCGGAAUUUUUUGCCCGGAGAGUCGCGUUGGGAAGGUAAUGGUCGUCAGAUUUGUAUUCAGAUACCAGUGACUAUUACACAAGAUUAAAUGUAAUAUACGUUAUUUAGCCUCUGGCUAAGCCAUCACAAACGAAUGCUCUCUUUUACACAAGCAAUGCCAUUCCUUGUCUAAUCCA